AUGAGUUGUUUGAGCUGGAACUGCCGGGGGCUUGGGAACCCCGGGGCAGUUCGCGAGCUUCGCAACAUUGUGAAGCAAGAAGGGCCCGAUCUCCUGUUUGUUAUGGAGACGAAAAUUCUAGCGACAAGAGUUGAAAGCUUACCGAAUCUGCUAGGUUUCUCAGGCUGCUAUGCAGUAAGCAGUAGGGGUCUGAGCGGAGGAUUUGGCAUGUUUUGGACCUCGAACUUGGAUGUGGAACUGAAAAAUUAUAGCACCAGCCAUAUUGAUGUACUGGUGCGGAUGAAACACGAUGUCACAAAGCAGUGGCCUGUGCCGGGAUUCUAUGGAGCUCCGAGAGUGGAAGAUCGUUGCCACAGUUGGAGAUUCCUAAGAACACCUUUUGCUAUCCAACAUGAAGCGUGGAUGUGCAUUGGAGAUUUUAACGAGACCCUGGUUGGCUCAGAGCACUUUUCUAGAACCCCCAGACCAGAAUGGCAGAUGAGGGCGUUCCGGGAAGUGACUGACGAGUGUGCACUCUCUGAUUUGGGUUGGUCAGGGACGGAAUACACGUGGGAUAAUAUGCAGCCGGGGCGAUCUAACGUGAGAGCCCGGCUUGACAGAGCUUUCGGAAACUCGGCGUUUAUGCAGAUGUUCUCGAAUGUGAGGAUCACACACAUUGUCACAACGGAAUCUGGUCACUGUUUUGUUCUCGCGGACUUGCGAGAUAACCUUUCGUCGGCAGCACCCAGAGGUCCUAAGCCCUUUAGAUAUGAAGAUAUGUGGCAAACACAUAUGGACUAG
rnacentral:rRNA from 1 species